AGAGCUUGGAGAAUAGCUUUCACAGAAACAUACUUUUCUGGACAGUUAUUUAGAUGAAACUUGUUCUCGGGGGUGCGGAGGGGACCAAAAAACCUUGGCUUUGCAAAUACUUGUUUCCUGUGUGCCAGACUUGGCUACUUCCUGUUUAUAAAAUGUAAUUGCUAGUAAUUGGAAUAAAAAACGAGUAGAAACAUUUAGCUCUGCUCAGUCACCUGCUUAACUUCCUUUUCUUUAUUACAAUCAGUUUUGCAUUUCUAAAGUUUAAAUGUCCUUUUUAUCACUUGGUAAUUAUUUUUAAACGAUCAGAAGAUAACCAUGGAAAGAUUCAAUGAGAUCGAAAGCAGGAUCCCUGGGGAAGAUAUAGAUGCAGAAGCUCUGUUCUUCGAACCCCAAAUAACCAGACACAUGGCAACCAAAGGUAUUUUUCCCUAACUUUUUAAAAUUUCACUUUUAUAGAAUUCUUCCAGACAAGAGAAAGUAAAUCAUAGGAACUGUCAACGUAAUACAAAACUUUUAAAAAAACACAUUUGAGAAGAAUGUGAGUCGUAACUGCUUUGACGCCGGCGCUAGGGAGCCCAAAGAGCCCACCCAGGACGCCGCGGCGCGCAAUCCAGUGCUCAGGGGCCGCAGGCGCCGCCAUGCCGGAAGGGGGCGGCCUUGGGCCCGGCACGGCUCAGCAACCUGGAGCUAAAGCCGCGCUCGACACGAGGGCCUCGGCCGGAGGUGACAGAGUCCACGUCUGCACCACCUUCUGGGAGCCGGGCGCGGAAACAAGUCGCCGAGCGGACCGAAAGGGUGGCAAUGGAAACCAAACGCCUUUCAUCCCCUAGAGACAAAGAGGUGCCUUCUUCUGACAACAGCUGCCAGUGUCACACAAGCCAUACGGCGGUGCGGCGCGGGAGGUCGCCAUGGCGACGGCCGGUGGCUGAAAGGACCUAUUGUUCGCCAGGCCGUCGGACCGCGCCUGUGCGGAGCCGCCUCCCAACCCUCGGGGCCGUGCUCUGGCCAGGGCCACAGAUGGCAGCGUCACCUUCGCGCAGCACGCUCCAUGGACGAACAGCCGCCGUCCGCGCUCGGCCCGGCGGAAGUCAGCGCCGAGACGUGCGUGCGCCGACGCGACGUGCACCCACGCUCCUGCGGCUGCGCGCGCGCGACUUCUGCUGGGGUCCGGGCGUGCGUGGGCGCCCAAGUCGCUGUGCUGGGAGUAAAACAGAGAGUCACUGUAUGAAGAAGACGGCGUUGAAAGGCAGCUUUGCCAUUCUGCUUGUUAGAGCCAGCAGAUUGUAAACAACCCGAAAGUCGGUGUUUGGGGCCGAUUAAAUGCUACUGGUCCACCCUUCAGUUGUAUCCUUAGUUGCCUUCUAGGAAUUCGUAUAAUUCCUCUGAGUGCUCUGCUCUCAGAAAUAUGGGCAUUUUUCUUACAUUCUAAAUAAGUAAAGUGUAGAAGAGUUGAACAACGUG
rnacentral:lncRNA from 1 species